AGUAACGCGUGGGUAACCUGCCCUUAAGUCUGGGAUACCAUUUGGAACAGAUGCUAAUACCGGAUAAAAGCUACUUUCGCAUGAAAGAAGUUUAAAAGGCGGCGUAAGCUGUCGCUAAAGGAUGGACCUGCGAUGCAUUAGCUAGUUGGUAAGGUAACGGCUUACCAAGGCGAUGAUGCAUAGCCGAGUUGAGAGACUGAUCGGCCACAUUGGGACUGAGACACGGCCCAAACUCCUACGGAGGCAGCAGCU
rnacentral:rRNA from 1 species